AUUGAACGCUGGCGGCAGGCUUAACACAUGCAAGUCGAACGAGGUGCGGACGGGUGAGUAAUGUCUGGGAAACUGCCUGAUUGAGGGGGAUAACUACUGGAAACGGUAGCUCAUACCGCAUACCAUCAGAUGUUCCCAGAUGGGAGUAGCUAGUAGGUGGGGUAAUGGCUCCACUGGGCGACGAUCCCUAGCUGGUCUGAGAGGCUGACCAGCCACACUGGAACUGAGACACGGUCCAGACUCCUACGGGAGGCAGCAGUGGGGAAUAUUGCACAAUGGGCGCAAGCCUGAUGCAGCCAUGCCUCGUGUGUGAAGAAGGCCUUCUGGUUGUAAAGUACUUUCAGCGAGGAGGCGUUACCCGCAGAAGAAGCACCGGCUAACUCCGUGCCAGCAGCCGCGGUAAUUC
rnacentral:rRNA from 1 species